GUCGAGCGGCGGACGGGUGAGUAAUGCCUAGGAAAUUGCCCUGAUGUGGGGGAUAACCAUUGGAAACGAUGGCUAAUACCGCAUGAUGCCUACGGGCCAAAGAGGGGGACCUUCGGGCCUCUCGCGUCAGGAUAUGCCUAGGUGGGAUUAGCUAGUUGGUGAGGUAAUGGCUCACCAAGGCGACGAUCCCUAGCUGGUCUGAGAGGAUGAUCAGCCACACUGGAACUGAGACACGGUCCAGACUCCUACGGGAGGCAGCAGUGGGGAAUAUUGCACAAUGGGCGCAAGCCUGAUGCAGCCAUGCCGCGUGUGUGAAGAAGGCCUUCGGGUUGUAAAGCACUUUCAGUCGUGAGGAAGGUAGUGUAGUUAAUAGCUGCAUCAUUUGACGUUAGCGACAGAAGAAGCACCGGCUAACUCCGUGCCAGCAGCCGCGGUAAUACGGAGGGUGCGAGCGUUAAUCGGAAUUACUGGGCGUAAAGCGCAUGCAGGUGGUUUGUUAAGUCAGAUGUGAAAGCCCGGGGCUCAACCUCGGAAUAGCAUUUGAAACUGGCAGACUAGAGUACUGUAGAGGGGGGUAGAAUUUCAGGUGUAGCGGUGAAAUGCGUAGAGAUCUGAAGGAAUACCGGUGGCGAAGGCGGCCCCCUGGACAGAUACUGACACUCAGAUGCGAAAGCGUGGGGAGCAAACAGGAUUAGAUACCCUGGUAGUCCACGCCGUAAACGAUGUCUACUUGGAGGUUGUGGCCUUGAGCCGUGGCUUUCGGAGCUAACGCGUUAAGUAGACCGCCUGGGGAGUACGGUCGCAAGAUUAAAACUCAAAUGAAUUGACGGGGGCCCGCACAAGCGGUGGAGCAUGUGGUUUAAUUCGAUGCAACGCGAAGAACCUUACCUACUCUUGACAUCCAGAGAACUUUCCAGAGAUGGAUUGGUGCCUUCGGGAACUCUGAGACAGGUGCUGCAUGGCUGUCGUCAGCUCGUGUUGUGAAAUGUUGGGUUAAGUCCCGCAACGAGCGCAACCCUUAUCCUUGUUUGCCAGCGAGUAAUGUCGGGAACUCCAGGGAGACUGCCGGUGAUAAACCGGAGGAAGGUGGGGACGACGUCAAGUCAUCAUGGCCCUUACGAGUAGGGCUACACACGUGCUACAAUGGCGCAUACAGAGGGCAGCAAGCUAGCGAUAGUGAGCGAAUCCCAAAAAGUGCGUCGUAGUCCGGAUUGGAGUCUGCAACUCGACUCCAUGAAGUCGGAAUCGCUAGUAAUCGUGGAUCAGAAUGCCACGGUGAAUACGUUCCCGGGCCUUGUACACACCGCCCGUCACACCAUGGGAGUGGGCUGCA
rnacentral:rRNA from 1 species